rnacentral:lncRNA from 1 species
AUGUUCCAGCUCCUCGUUUGCUUUAUUUCUGGAAAAAUAAAGCGAGCAGCACGCAUACAGAGGGAAGGGGGCGGGGGACAGCGCGCUGCUGUGGUCACUGCGAAUCCUCUGUCCGAGCCUUAGACCCAGUGCUUGGGAGAGAAUGAGUAACACCAGUGAAAGCCAAUGCACUCAAAUACCUUUAUUCUCAGUCCUUCUAAAAUUUUACUCGAUAACUUCAGAUUUCUCAGUCAGACACAAGCAUUCUCUAACAGAAAACCAAGUUGUUUUCUGCUCAGCAAUAUUGCUUUUGUUGUUCGGGGCAUUUAAUAACGUAUUGAUUCUCGUUGUGCCUACACCAGAGUGCUGUAUCGUUACUUCGCGUCUCUUCAGCUCCGUUCUCCUUUCUUUCUUUCCUUUUUUCUUUCUCUCUUCCUUCCUUCCUUCCUUCCUUCCUUCCUUCCUUCCUUCCUUCCUUCCUUCCUUCCUUCCUUCCUUCCUUCCUUCCUUCCUUCCUUCCUUCCUCACCACCUUCCUUUCCUUCCUUCCUUCCUUCCUUUCCCUUCCUCCUUCCUUCCUUCCUCCUUCCUUCCUUCUUCCUUCCUUCCUUCCUUCCUUUCCUUCCUUCCUUCCUGUUUCCUUGCUUUCCUUCCUGUCUUCCUUCCUUCCUUCCUUCCUUCCUGGCCUUCCUUUCCUUCCUUCCUUCCUUCCUUCCUUCCUUCCUUCCUUCCUUCCUUCCCUUCUUUUUCUUUUCUUUCUUUCUUGCUUUUCUUUCUUUCUUUCUUUCUUUCUUUCUUUCUUUUUUCUUUCUUUCUUUCUAUUCUUUGUUUCUUUUCUUUCUGGUCUUUCUUUCUUGCUUUUCUUUUCUUUCUUUCUUUCUUUCUUUCUUUCUUUCUUCUUUCUUUCUUUCUGUUUCUCUCUCUCUCUCUCUCCUAUUUUCCUUCUUUUCUUCCUCUCUUCCUUUUUCUCCCUUUCAGUUUUCCUUUCUCCCUUUCCUGUCCUCAUAUUUAUUUUCUCUUUUCACAUUCUUUUUCUCUCCUCCUUUCUCCCUUUCUUUUCUUCCUUUCUUUCUACUCUCCCUGUUAUGUCACCCCUCCUUUCUCUCCUUCUCUCAGCACCAGAAGGAUCGCACCUCAUACAGCAUACCAGGAUUUAUCGCUCCGUCGCUUGUGCGGACUUGUGA